GAGCUUUGCAACCGCAGGGAACUUUGAUUUUACAGAGACAGACAUGCCUGGUAUUAGGAGAUGGUGGUGUUUGCUUCUUUAGGAGAAUUUCACCUUGAGGUCUGAAGAAGAAAGACGGGCAACAAAGAGACUCAAGAGGCAAACUGAAAAUAAUACACUUAAUAAUAAUUACACUUACAGUAAUAUGACUUUUUUUGUCGUAUUCUCUUAACAUAUGUAGAAUUACAUGUCUUCUCUGCUAUCCUCUUUAGGCACAAAAGGCAAUCAUGACUCCUGAGUUGC